rnacentral:rRNA from 1 species
AGCAGCCGCGGUAAUUCCAGCUCCAAUAGCGUAUAUUAAAGUUGCUGCAGUUAAAAAGCUCGUAGUUGAAUUUCGGGAUCAAUAUGUUGGUCGUGCCUCGGUACGUACUAGCUUAUUGGUUUCUCCCUUCUGACGAACCAUGAUGUCAUUUAUUUGGUGUUAUGGGAAAUCAGGACUGUUACUUUGAAAAAAUUAGAGUGUUUAAAGCAGGCUCACGCUUGAAUACAUUAGCAUGGAAUAAUGAAAUAGGACGUUUGAUUCUAUUUUGUUGGUUUCUAGGAUCGACGUAAUGAUUAAUAGGGAUAGUUGGGGGCAUUAGUAUUCAAUUGUCAGAGGUGAAAUUCUUGGAUUUAUUGAAGACUAACUACUGCGAAAGCAUUUGCCAAGGAUGUUUUCAUUAAUCAAGAACGAAAGUUAGGGGAUCGAAGACGAUCAGAUACCGUCGUAGUCUUA